rnacentral:sRNA from 1 species
GCAGUUGGACUUGGAGCCCGCUCCGCGCGCUGCGGGGCGGGGCACGGCGGAGCAGGGUUGGGUCCGCCCCGAGCGGGGGUGGUGAUGCGACACCACAGGGGCGGGGCUGGAGGUAAAGCGCGGAGGGGGGAGGGACGAGGCUCGGCACUGAUUUGUGUUCAGGGCUAGCCCAGAGGGGCGGGGCCAGAUCAUCAGAAAAGCCCUUACUGAGGAAAAACGCGUCUCAACAAAAACAUCAGCUGCAGAUCUUGUGACAGAAACGGAUCACCUUGUGGAAGAUUUAAUUAUUUCUGAGUUGCGAGAGAGGUUUCCUUCACACAGGUUCAUUGCAGAAGAGGCCGCGGCUUCUGGGGCCAAGUGUGUGCUCACCCAUAGCCCGACCUGGAUCAUCGACCCCAUCGACGGCACCUGCAAUUUUGUGCACAGAUUCCCGACUGUGGCGGUUAGCAUUGGAUUUGCUGUUCGACAAGAGCUUGAAUUCGGAGUGAUUUACCACUGCACAGAGGAACGGCUGUACACGGGCCGGCGGGGUCGGGGCGCCUUCUGCAAUGGCCAGCGGCUCCGGGUCUCCGGGGAGACAGAUCUCUCAAAGGCCUUGGUUCUGACAGAAAUUGGCCCCAAGCGUGACCCUGCGACCCUGAAGCUGUUCCUGAGUAA